rnacentral:rRNA from 1 species
GACAGAGGGUGCAAACGUUGCUCGGAAUUACUGGGCGUAAAGGGCGUGUAGGCGGGAAGGCAAGUCGGGCGUGAAAUCCCCAAGCUCAACUUGGGAACUGCACUCGAAACUGCCUUUCUUGAGUGCCGGAGAGGAAAGCGGAAUUCCUGGUGUAGAGGUGAAAUUCGUAGAUAUCAGGAGGAACACCAGUGGCGAAGGCGGCUUUCUGGACGGUUACUGACGCUGAGACGCGAAAGCGUGGGGAGCAAACAGG